UACGUAGGGUGCAAGCGUUGUCCGGAAUUAUUGGGCGUAAAGAGCUCGUAGGCGGUUUGUCGCGUUGUUCGUGAAAACCUGAGGCUUAACCUUGGGCGUGCGGGCGAUACGGGCAGACUGGAGUACUGCAGGGGAGACUGGAAUUCCUGGUGUAGCGGUGGAAUGCGCAGAUAUCAGGAGGAACACCGGUGGCGAAGGCGGGUCUCUGGGCAGUAACUGACGCUGAGGAGCGAAAGCGUGGGGAGCGAACAGG
rnacentral:rRNA from 1 species